GAUGAACGCUAGCGGCAGGCUUAAUACAUGCAAGUCGAGGGGUAGCAAGAUUGUAGCAAUAUACUUGUUGACGACCGGCAAACGGGUGCGGAACACGUACACAACCUUCCUACAACUGGGGAAUAGCCCAGAGAAAUCUGGAUUAAUACCCCGUAACAUAGCGAUUUGGCAUCACAUUGCUAUUUUAGCUUCGGCGCUUGUUUAUGGGUGUGCGUGUGAUAAGCUAGUUGGCGGGGUAACGGGCCACCAAGUCUACGAUCAGUAGCUAAUGUGAGAGCGUGACCUGCAACACGGGAACGGAGACACGUGCCCUACUCCUACGGGAGGCAGCAGUAAGGAAUAUUGGACAAUGGACGCAAGUCUGAUCCAGCCAUGCCGCGUGAAGGAUUAAGGUCCUCUGGAUUGUAAACUUCUUUUAUAAGGGACGAAAAAAGGUCUUGCUAGAUCGUCUGACGGUACCUUAUGAAUAAGCACCGGCUAACGCCGUGCCAGCCGCCGCAGUAACAC
rnacentral:rRNA from 1 species